GGCACCUCAGAAAUUCCUAAUUUCAAAUUUCAAAAGGAUUACAGGAACUAGCCGGAACUAGGAAGACUAGUUCUAUUAGAAAUCCCGCCAGGGCCAGGAGAAGCAACACUUUUUUUGGCAACGUUGUUUAAGCCAAUGGUUUUCUUGAAAGGGAAGCAAUAUUUAAAAUGUCAUUCUUGUCUCAGCUGCUGUAUGGUACUGAUGGCUGUUCCUUCAUCCUACAAAAACCUGAUGUCAUUCUCACGUGGCGAUUUGGAAUUCCAGCAAUGGAUGCUCAAUAAUUUGUUGAUUAAAUUGGUCAAUUGAUUAAUUUCAUGGUUCCUGAGCUUAAUUAGCGUGAAGAAAGAAUUUGCUUGAACUAGGGCGAAAUGAUGUCCAAUCUAGAGUGUUAAUAUUUAGGAUGUAAAACCCAUCUUACUUUUCAUUUCCUUGCUAACUGAUGUGAAUGUUCUUUGAGUUAAGUACAGGGCCACUGACUCCAUAGCUGUAUGUGACUAACAUAAGUUGGGCAGCAAGCCGCUGGGAUGAAACCAUGAGUUAGUCAAGUCUGGUGUAGGUCUGGUUGUUGAUGGCGGCUGCAUCGCUUGGUUUAUGCCGUUCGCUAGUUGGCAAUUUCGAAGGAAACUACGCGGCCGAGUGUGGAUCGGCGUGCCGUGUAUGGAUUGGGCGGUUAAGUAUCGCAGAACUCUACAAGCAGUAUCCGCCGACCUGGGUUUCAGUAGACGUUUCCGUGUUCUUUUGAGUUGAUUCAUCGGCAGUGGUGGCUAUCAACGGUUCAAAGGCGGGCUGUCCGGUGUUUAUUUAAAAUCAGGGCAUCAUUGCGCUUACUGGCAGGAACAUAAGGAUGAAUGCUUCGGAAUCCUGGCCAUCUGAAGUUGGGGGACUAAGAUGUGGAACAUACAUGGUUAGCUGAAUUAAAGGCGACAUUGGUGUAACACGCGUUUUGGGUAUUAGGUUUCGGACAGGUUUAACAGGUAUUUUGAGCAAACUGGCUGCAGUAUUUGUCCCAUCUGAAAUGGAAAGUUGAUUGUUUCCACAGAUAUUAGUUUCGGUGUGCCGGAAAAUUUGGAGUAAGAACAGAAACAAGAUGUUUGGCAAGAUUUUAUUUGAGUAAUUUGAUUUCAUGUCUGUCAAAUUGUCAAAUGUUCAAAUUCGAGAUUAACUUUAGCGUUUGUUGUACAGGUAUUAUGAUGUAAACCAAUACAAAUGCUUAAAUGUG